CCUACGGGAGGCAGCAGUGAGGAAUAUUGGUCAAUGGACGGAAGCCUGAACCAGCCAAGCCGCGUGCAGGAUGACUGCCCUAUGAGUUGUAAACUGCUUUUGUAUGAGGAUAAACACCACUAUGUAUAGGGCUUUGAAUGUACAUUAUGAAUAAGGAUCGGCUAACUCCGUGCCAGCAGCCGCGGUAAUACGGAGGAUCCGAGCGUUAUCCGGAUUUAUUGGGUUUAAAGGGAGCGUAGGCGGGUUGUUAAGUCAGUGGUGAAAUACCGGGGCUCAACACUAAAAUUGCAUUUGAUACUGGUAGACUUGAGUAUAGUAGAGGUAGGCGGAAUGCGUGGUGUAGCGGUGAAAUGCUUAGAGAUCAUGCAGAACACCGAUUGCGAAGGCAGCUUGCCAGACUGUAACUGACGUUGAGGCACGAAAGCGUGGGUAGCAAACAGGAUUAGAUACCCUGGUAGUC
rnacentral:rRNA from 1 species